rnacentral:misc_RNA from 1 species
GAUGAAGAACGCAGUGAAAUGCGAUAAGUAAUGUGAAUUGCAGAAUUCAGUGAAUCAUCGAAUCUUUGAACGCACCUUGCACCCUUUGGCUAUUCCGAAGGGUAUGCCUGUUUGAGUAUCAUGAACACCUCAACUCUCAUGGUUUGUCAUGAUGAGCUUGGACUUUGGGGGUCUUGCUGGCCUGUGGUCAGCUCCUCUCAAAUGGAUUAGCUUGCCAGUGUUUGGUGGCAUCACAGGUGUGAUAACUAUCUACGCUUGUGGUUUUCCACCAGGUAACCUUCAGCAAUGGGGGUUCGCUGGGGCUCAUAAAUGUCUCUCCUCAGUGAGGACAGCUCUUUGAACGUUUGAUCUCAAAUCAGGUAGGACUACCCGCUGAACUUAAGCAUAUCAAUAAGCGGAGGA